rnacentral:lncRNA from 1 species
AGUCUUAAAAGAUGGAAUGGAAAAAUAAAUCUAUCAAAAAAUGUGGCCAUGUUAAAAAUAUAAAGAAUUAAAUAAUGCAAUGAUGAAAACAGCAUCCAUGGCAUAGAAGAAAGGCUUGAUCUAAUCACAGAGAAAGAUAUGGAAAUCAAAAACAAUUAGAGAUGAAAGUGAUUAUAGAUAAUUUUAUAGAUAUAGAAGUCAGACCCUGGGAUCAUGACCUGAGUUGAAGGCAGAUGCUUAACCCACUGAACCACUCCGGUGCGCCUUGUGUUGGUCAGUUAUUAACUACGUGGAGGAAGGAACAAAGAGGGACCUAACUCUGGAGCUAGGUGGCUCUGGUUUCAGAGGGUAAUUCUCUGGAAAAGAGGACCACUGUGGGCCAUUGGUGGCCAAUACUCACAGUAGCUGAAGGCUGUGUGCACCUGUUUGAUAAAGGACAUCUGGGCAGGGUCUCAACAGUGUCACCUGUCGGGUGUUGCUAGCUCUAUUUAUGGUAACUUUCCCUGUUUCUGACCAAUCCCUUAUUAUAUUUUACUGUGGUUUACAGAUGCCAGCUUUGGUGUCAAGGAGAUGCAUUUCACCACGAGAAAGAAAGUAAAAGGCCUCUGUGGAAAGAAGAGGGAGGGUGGAAAAGACUAGAUUUUUUGGAAGAAAGCAUGCCAAUGAGCUUUGUGGGAGUUGUCCUCGCAUCAAGUUCUUAUCCAUAUUGCCAGGUGUGAGGUCACAACAACCUCAGGUGGUCAGCCUGUUCAUCUGCCAGGUGUCACUAUAUGUCUUCCAGAGACCCUGCCCAGCUCAUCCAAUCCACCCCUCUCCCCACACACCCCACUGAUCCAACUCACCAGAGAUGCUGCCUCUCGAAUCACAGCUGGGAAACAUUUUAGCUUCAAAAACAGUAGAGGAGAAACAUGUGCACUUUGUGGGUGAUAGGGAAAUAAAAAGGCAACAUCAUCUUAGACUGGAAAGAACCAAUUUGAGAUUGCCUUUUAUCUGAGACGUACCAAUGUCUCUGUAACAGGUGCUAAGGAGCACUGUGAAUCUCUAAGAGGACUAGAAUGUGGCAUUUUGCAAAUUUAUUUUACAGUGGUACCAUACCAUGGGAUUAAGAUCCUACAAAAAUGUUCUUUAGCAAAUGCUGAUGUUUUCAAUGAGACCGAGUGGUUUUUCAAGUAGUAUAGGUGAUGAGUUUUUUGUUUUUUUUUUUCUUUUGCAAAAUAAUUUUUAAAGAAAUAUGGAGAUGGAUCAGAGAGAGAAUAAAAUGUCAGGGAGGCAAAUUAGGGACUAAUUUGUCCUAAAAUGUUAAAAGCCUGAACUAAUUAAUGAUCAUUAAUGCAACCUUUCAGCCAAGUGCAGGAUCCUACAUUCCUUACAGGAGAGCCACAAUGUUCC